rnacentral:sRNA from 1 species
CGACGGUCCGGCGUCAGUGGGUUAUCCUUUCAUGUGUUCCCUUCGGGGAAAUUUCCCAUCGGCACCAACUUGACCGUUAC